rnacentral:rRNA from 1 species
UGGGGAAUCUUCCGCAAUGGGCGCAAGCCUGACGGAGCAACGCCGCGUGAGUGAAGAAGGGUUUCGACUCGUAAAGCUCUGUUGUCGGGGGCGAAUGUGGAGAUGGUGAAUAACCAUUUUCAAUGACGGUACCUGACGAGGAAGCCACGGCUAACUACGUGCCAGCAGCCGCGGUAAUACGUAGGUGGCGAGCGUUGUCCGGAAUUAUUGGGCGUAAAGGGAGCGCAGGCGGGAAGGUAAGUCUAUCUUAAAAGUGCGGGGCUCAACCCCGUGAGGGGAUGGAAACUAUCUUUCUUGAGUGCAGGAGAGGAAAGCGGAAUUCCUAGUGUAGCGGUGAAAUGCGUAGAUAUUAGGAGGAACACCAGUGGCGAAGGCGGCUUUCUGGACUGUAACUGACGCUGAGGCUCGAAAGCGUGGGGAGCGAACAGGAUUAGAUACCCUGGUAGU